rnacentral:rRNA from 1 species
AAUUUCCGCGGGGGCGUCAAAGCUUACCAAAGAAUAUCAAACUCCGAAUGCCAUGUAGAUGAUGAUCGGGAGUCAGACUGCACGAGAUAAGUUGGGCAGUCAAAAGGGAAAGAGCCCAGACCACCGGCUAAGGUCCCAAAGUGUGUGUUAAGUGGAAAAGGAUGUGGGAAUUCGAAGACAACUAGGAUGUUGGCUCAGAAGCAGCCAUACAUUCAAAGAGUGCGUAACAGCUCACUAGUCGAGAGUUCCUGCGCCGAAAAUGUCCGGGGCUGAAACACGACACCGAAGCCGUGGACUCGCAAUGCGAGUGGUAGAGGAGCAUUCUUAAAACCGACGAAGCUGUACCGAAAGGAGCAGUGGAGGGAUAAGAAGAGAGAAUGCCGGAAUGAGUAGCGAGAGAAAGGUGGGAAUCCUUUCGGCCGAAUAUCUAAGGUUUCCAGAGUAAAGCUGAUCUGCUCUGGGUAAGUCGGGGCCUAAGCACAGGUCGCAAGACGUAAGCGAUGGAUAACAGGUUUAGAUUCCUGUACCACGCAUUAUCAGAACUGUAGGGACGCAUGUGGAAAGCACGGGCCGGGAAUGGAAAGACCGGUACAAGCGAGGUAGGUGUACGAUAGGCAAAUCCGUCGUAUAAUCCGAAGACGUGAUGUGGAGCGAAAUAAAGUAGUGAAGCGUGUGAGCCAUGUGCCGAGAAAAGCUGCUAUUGUGUAAUGCGUGCCCGUACCGUAAACCGACACAGGUGGAUGAGGAGAGAAUCCUAAGGCCGGCGGAAGAAGCAUUGUUAAGGAAUUCGGCAAAAUGACCCCGUAACUUCGGGAGAAGGGGUGCCUGCGAGAGCAGGCCGCAGAGAAUAGGCUCAAGCAACUGUUUAGCAAAAACACAGGUCUAUGCGAAACCGAAAGGUGAAGUAUAUGGGCUGACGCCUGCCCGGUGCUGGAAGGUUAAGAGGAGAGGUUAGCGCAAGCGAAGCUUUGAAUUUAAGCCCCAGUAAACGGCGGCCGUAACUAUAACGGUCCUAAGGUAGCGAAAUUCCUUGUCGGGUAAGUUCCGACCCGCACGAAAGGCGUAAUGAUUUGAGCACUGUCUCGACAAUGCAUCCGGUGAAAUUGAAGUACCAGUGAAGAUGCUGGUUACCCGCGCCAGGACGGAAAGACCCCAUGGAGCUUUACUCCAGUUUGAUACUGGGAUUCGGUACUGCAUGUACAGGAUAGGUGGGAGACGAAGAAGGAUGGACGCCAGUCUGUCCGGAGUCGCUGUUGGGAUACCACCCCUGUAGUACUGGGUUUCUAACCAGUUGCCAUGAACUGGCAAUGGGACAAUGUCAGGCGGGGAGUUUGACUGGGGCGGUCGCCUCCGAAAGGGUAUCGGAGGCGCUCAAAGGUUCCCUCAGAAUGGUUGGAAACCAUUUGAAGAGUGCAAAGGCAGAAGGGAGCUUGACUGCGACACCGACGGGUGGAGCAGGUACGAAAGUAGGACUUAGUGAUCCGGUGGUAUAAAGUGGGAUUGCCAUCGCUCAACGGAUAAAAGCUACCCUGGGGAUAACAGGCUUAUCACUCCCAAGAGUUCACAUCGACGGAGUGGUUUGGCACCUCGAUGUCGGCUCAUCGCAUCCUGGGGCUGUAGCAGGUCCCAAGGGUUGGGCUGUUCGCCCAUUAAAGCGGUACGCGAGCUGGGUUCAGAACGUCGUGAGACAGUUCGGUCCCUAUCCGGCGCGGGCGGAGGAUAUUUGAGAGGAGCUGUCCUUAGUACGAGAGGACCGGGAUGGACGGACCACUGGUGUAUCUGCUGUCGACCAACGGCAUGGCAGAGUAGCCAAGUCCGGAAGGGAUAAACGCUGAAGGCAUCUAAGCGUGAAGCCCCCCUCAAGAUGAGAUAUCCCUCACAUAAGUGGGUAAGAUCCCUUGA